rnacentral:rRNA from 1 species
GUAGUCAUAUGCUUGUCUCAAAGAUUAAGCCAUGCAUGUCUAAGUAUAAGCAACUAUACUGUGAAACUGCGAAUGGCUCAUUAAAUCAGUUAUCGUUUAUUUGAUAGUGCCCUUUACUACUUGGAUAACCGUGGUAAUUCUAGAGCUAAUACAUGCAUAAAGCCCCGUCUAGGGGUGUAUUUAUUAGAUAAAAAACCAAUGCCCUCCGGGGCUGCUUGGUGAAUCAUGAUAACGCAACGAAUCGCAUGGCCUUGCGCCGGCGAUGGUUCAUUCAAAUUUCUGCCCUAUCAACUUUCGAUUGUAGUUUAGUGGACUACAAUGGUUUCAACGGGUAACGGGGAAUUAGGGUUCGACUCCGGAGAGGGAGCCUGAGAAACGGCUACCACAUCCAAGGAAGGCAGCAGGCGCGCAAAUUACCCAAUCCCGACACGGGGAGGUAGUGACAAUAAAUACUGAUACAGGGCUCUUUUGGGUCUUGUAAUUGGAAUGAGUACAAUUUAAAUCCCUUAACGAGGAACAAUUGGAGGGCAAGUCUGGUGCCAGCAGCCGCGGUAAUUCCAGCUCCAAUAGCGUAUAUUAAAGUUGUUGCAGUUAAAAAGCUCGUAGUUGAACCUUGGGCCUGGCUGACCGGUCCGCCUCACCGCGUGCACUGGUUCGGCCGGGCCUUUCCUUCUGCGGAACGGCAUGCCCUUCACUGGGCGUGUUCGGGAAGCAGGACUUUUACUUUGAAAAAAUUAGAGUGUUCAAAGCAGGCCUUUGCUCGAAUACAUUAGCAUGGAAUAAUGGAAUAGGACGGCGCUCCUAUUUUGUUGGUUUCUAGGAGAGCCGUAAUGAUUAAUAGGGACAGUUGGGGGCAUCCGUAUCCAGUUGUCAGAGGUGAAAUUCUUGGAUUUACUGAAGACGAACUACUGCGAAAGCAUUUGCCAAAGAUGUUUUCAUUAAUCAGUGAACGAAAGUUAGGGGAUCGAAGACGAUCAGAUACCGUCGUAGUCUUAACCAUAAACUAUGCCGACUAGGGAUCGGGCGAUGUUAUUGUAUUGACUCGCUCGGCACCUUUCGAGAAAUCAAAGUGUUUGGGUUCUGGGGGGAGUAUGGUCGCAAGGCUGAAACUUAAAGGAAUUGACGGAAG